GGCCGGACGCCCCGCCCCUCCGGCUGCCGGCGGGAGCGUCACGGCCUGGCUGGCUCGAGGGAAGAUGCUCUCCGCAGCUCACCCAGGUGUCCCAUCCCAGACUUGUCAGUCACCAGCUGUUUGCAGGCCUGUCAGCCCACCAGCUCCUUUCUGACGCCAAACUUUGCACCCUUGCCGAGGCCGGGGACCGGAGCGUCGGCUCGAACCAGCAGCUCCGCCAACAGGCAGCCGCAAACGUAAAGCAUGGCAUGGGAAUUAAUAAUAUUAGUAUGCUUGCUGGUGGAGAAACGGGCAAGCAGGGAGCAAGUGAUGGGGAGCAGUCGCCUGCUCUGUGCAUUUGCAUCCGUUUGGCGCCUUUCCCCCGUUUCUAGGGCCGUGAUUUGUGCAACUUUCCCUAAUCAGAGGAAAAAAAUGUGUAUGUCUUAAGGGAUGUUUAACUCGGCUCCUGGGAGGCUGAAGGAGGCUGUGUUGCAAAACAAACGAAAAAGAGUUAAAAAAAAUAGCCAGUUGCCUCUCUGCGAGGGAAUUAAAGCGGGUAGCAGAGGCUGCCAGCGUUGUGCAAGAAACGGGAGCUGAUGGAAGCAGGAGCCCCAGAGAGAGGGAAACGCUCAAAAAAAGCAGCGUUGCAAAAAAGGCAACA
rnacentral:lncRNA from 1 species